CCUACGGGCGGCAGCAGUGAGGAAUAUUGGUCAAUGGACGAGAGUCUGAACCAGCCAAGUAGCGUGAAGGAUGACUGCCCUAUGGGUUGUAAACUUCUUUUAUAUGGGAAUAAAACGUUCCACGUGUGGGAUUUUGUAUGUACCAUAAGAAUAAGGCUCGGCUAACUCCGUGCCAGCAGCCGCGGUAAUACGGAGGAUCCGAGCGUUAUCCGGAUUUAUUGGGUUUAAAGGGAGCGUAGGUGGAUUGUUAAGUCAGUUGUGAAAGUUUGCGGCUCAACCGUAAAAUUGCAGUUGAAACUGGCAGUCUUGAGUACAGUAGAGGUGGGCGGAAUUCGUGGUGUAGCGGUGAAAUGCUUAGAUAUCACGAAGAACUCCGAUUGCGAAGGCAGUUCACUGGACUGCAACUGACACUGAGGCUCGAAAGUGUGGGUAUCAAACAGGAUUAGAUACCCUUGUAGUC
rnacentral:rRNA from 1 species